CUCUCCUCUUCCUCGUCCUCUUCCUCCUCCUCUUCUACUUCAGGCUCAUCCUUCAUUCUCAUUAGAGCUGCAGGGAGUUCUGGGCGCUUAGGGGGU
rnacentral:miRNA from 14 species